AACAAAGACAUGGUCAUUUUGAAAAUUGUGGUCUUAGAUCAUGAAUUGUAUUUUCAAAAUGCAUUGCUAACACAACUGCACAUGUUUGUUUAUUGGAAAGAACAUCACAAAGGGUGACAAUCCCAUGUGUCAUGUGUAUGUUUUGUGUACAGCGUGCAUUAUAUGAAUCACAUUCAUUGACAAUUGAAUGCAAAUAGAAUGGUAAAUUUCAUUUAAUCAUAAAUAUGUUGUUGACAACUUAUAGCAAACAAAUACCAUGAGGGAAAUGUGAAAAGGAUUUUGAAAAGAAAAUUAAAAGAGCUUGCAAUUGCUGAACUGAUAAGCAAACAAAACAUACGUGUGUAUGCAAGAUUGUUGUAAUGCUUAGCAUCCUAUGCAAGGCUAUUGCAAUGAUUUUUUGUAUAGUGAUGCUACCUUUUUUUAGAAUUUGGAAUGUCUUUUUUUGAGUGUGAAUGGAAUUUUGUUUGUUAGCAAAGGAAUGCACUUUUAGAUUCAUUGUUUGAUUUGAUUUAAAAAUGUUUGUGACACGUGUCUUUGUUUUAGUUUCAUGCUUCAACCAAGGACAUUGUGUUUGAUCCAUAUCAGCAAUACAUGUUUUGUUUGACCCGUCUUGAAACACGGACCAAGGAGUUUAAUUUAUGUGCAAGAUCAUGAAACUGACAUUUGUAUAUCAAUGAAAAUAUUUUGUUGGGAUUUGUGCACCAACAACUGAUAAGUUGUGUGACGCGACGUUGAGUUUGAGCAUGUUGAUUAAAACCCGAAAGAUGGUGAACUAUGCCUGAACAGAAUGAAGUCAGAGGAAACUCUGAUGGAAGUUCGUAUCGAUACUGACGU
rnacentral:rRNA from 1 species